GGCGCCGAGAUUGUAUUGUUGGAGAAAGGCGAGGGGUCCAACGUGGUGUUCUCGCGGGAGUCGCCGCUGCUCGGGAAGGAGAGCCGGAUACCGAAGGCUUACGGGUGCAGCGCGAAGCGGCUGCGGUCGAGAGCGGCGGAGCUGUCGGAGGAGCCGGAGAAGGAGAAGGACAAGAGCAAGCUGGACAGGAAGCUCAGUCGGUCGGAGCGGAUCGAGCUGGGCAGGAUGUUUCAGGGUGCGGUGAGCUCCCACGACUGGGAGCUCGCCGAGAGCCUGAUUUUGCUCGCCGACGUUCAGACCCACAACGACGCUCUUUGCAUAGCGCUCGAUUCGAUAUGGUUUCUCAAGACACGCCAGGAGCUGGACGGGAUCACCGGGCUGAUCACGAAGAUUGUAUCGAACGGGGCAAAUGAUUUCACUCGUGCCGCCCUGAGGACGGCAUUCCUCGCCUCGUGUGUCUCAGCCUGUCAGAGCAACACGAUGAGCUUGGCGGAUACUGUGAAUGCCAUGGCUCAGAGAUUACACGAGCGGCUUCAAGAAUGCAAUGGCGACGAGGUGUUGAAGGCCG
rnacentral:misc_RNA from 1 species